rnacentral:rRNA from 1 species
GACGUAGGGCGCGAGCGUUGUCCGGAUUUAUUGGGCGUAAAGAGCUCGUAGGCGGCUCGUUGCGUCAACCGUGAAAACCCGAGGCUCAACCUCGGGCCUGCAGUGGGUACGGGCAGACUAGAGUGGCGGUAGGGGAGAUUGGAAUUCCUGGUGUAGCGGUGGAAUGCGCAGAUAUCAGGAGGAACACCGAUGGCGAAGGCAGAUCUCUGGGCCGUAACUGGACGCUGAGGAGCGAAAGCGUGGGGAGCGAACAGG